UGCAGUCGAACGCGUUGGCCCAAUUGAUUGAUGGUGCUUGCACCUGAUUGAUUUUGGUCGCCAACGAGUGGCGGACGGGUGAGUAACACGUAGGUAACCUGCCCAGAAGCGGGGGACAACAUUUGGAAACAGAUGCUAAUACCGCAUAACAGCGUUGUUCGCAUGAACAACGCUUAAAAGAUGGCUUCUCGCUAUCACUUCUGGAUGGACCUGCGGUGCAUUAGCUUGUUGGUGGGGUAACGGCCUACCAAGGCGAUGAUGCAUAGCCGAGUUGAGAGACUGAUCGGCCACAAUGGGACUGAGACACGGCCCAUACUCCUACGGGAGGCAGCAGUAGGGAAUCUUCCACAAUGGGCGCAAGCCUGAUGGAGCAACACCGCGUGAGUGAAGAAGGGUUUCGGCUCGUAAAGCUCUGUUGUUAAAGAAGAACACGUAUGAGAGUAACUGUUCAUACGUUGACGGUAUUUAACCAGAAAGUCACGGCUAACUACGUGCCAGCAGCCGCGGUAAUACGUAGGUGGCAAGCGUUAUCCGGAUUUAUUGGGCGUAAAGAGAGUGCAGGCGGUUUUCUAAGUCUGAUGUGAAAGCCUUCGGCUUAACCGGAGAAGUGCAUCGGAAACUGGAUAACUUGAGUGCAGAAGAGGGUAGUGGAACUCCAUGUGUAGCGGUGGAAUGCGUAGAUAUAUGGAAGAACACCAGUGGCGAAGGCGGCUACCUGGUCUGCAACUGACGCUGAGACUCGAAAGCAUGGGUAGCGAACAGGAUUAGAUACCCUGGUAGUCCAUGCCGUAAACGAUGAGUGCUAGGUGUUGGAGGGUUUCCGCCCUUCAGUGCCGGAGCUAACGCAUUAAGCACUCCGCCUGGGGAGUACGACCGCAAGGUUGAAACUCAAAGGAAUUGACGGGGGCCCGCACAAGCGGUGGAGCAUGUGGUUUAAUUCGAAGCUACGCGAAGAACCUUACCAGGUCUUGACAUCUUGCGCCAACCCUAGAGAUAGGGCGUUUCCUUCGGGAACGCAAUGACAGGUGGUGCAUGGUCGUCGUCAGCUCGUGUCGUGAGAUGUUGGGUUAAGUCCCGCAACGAGCGCAACCCUUGUUACUAGUUGCCAGCAUUAAGUUGGGCACUCUAGUGAGACUGCCGGUGACAAACCGGAGGAAGGUGGGGACGACGUCAGAUCAUCAUGCCCCUUAUGACCUGGGCUACACACGUGCUACAAUGGACGGUACAACGAGUCGCGAACUCGCGAGGGCAAGCAAAUCUCUUAAAACCGUUCUCAGUUCGGACUGCAGGCUGCAACUCGCCUGCACGAAGUCGGAAUCGCUAGUAAUCGCGGAUCAGCAUGCCGCGGUGAAUACGUUCCCGGGCCUUGUACACACCGCCCGUCACACCAUGAGAGUUUGUAACACCCAAAGUCGGUGGGGUAAC
rnacentral:rRNA from 2 species